AGAGGAGGCCGGGGCGCGCUCGAGCCACAUCGGAGGCCCCACUCGAGGCCUAACACCGGCGCCCUCCGAGCGCUUCUGUGCAGCCAGGCCCUGGGAAGUGUAACAACCCUGCUCCUCUCCUAAAUGCACACAGUGCGUCUUUUGCAAAUGCAAGCCCUUGCUCUGGAACCCCUUCCUACAGCGACCUCUGCACAAAAGGAAAGGCGGUCAAGUGAGGUUUUCCAACGACCAGACCAUCGAGCUGGAGAAGAAGUUCGAGACUCAGAAAUACCUCUCCCCACCUGAGAGAAAGCGUCUGGCCAAGAUGUUGCAGCUCAGCGAGAGACA
rnacentral:lncRNA from 1 species